UUGUAUAGACUGUAUUUAAAACUGGCUGUUCUAGCAGUGCUCCGAUUAGCUAGACCUCAUGAUACUUUUAGUUGUCGUUUGACCAUUUUUACUUCACCGGAGCAUUGAAAUUCUAAGAUGCUGCUUUCGUUGCCUAAGAUGCUGCUUUCGUUGCGCGACUUUGCUGUCUUGCGAAUGGACUUCAGUUUGUUCAAGAAUUUUUGUUAAAUGUAGAUUUUGUCAUUCUUGGAAUGUUGAAUAUAUCAUCAAUACGUUGGAAACUCAAAA
rnacentral:lncRNA from 1 species